UUUCCCUCGCACGUUCCUCAAUUUGACUUCGUAACUUUCUUGAACUGGAGUUGCUUUCUUUUACUUAAAAAUAGGAGAGACUCAACUGCAUUAUAUAAUACAGAAUGCCUGAGAUUAUGCAGAACGCCUGAUGAGCUCAGAAACCAAAGCUUUGGAUGCCAGGCUACAGAAGCAAAGAGUAUCUUUCAAAAGUUAAAUCAAAGCUAUAAAUCAAAGUGAACCGUCUCAAGUGACAACAACGAAAUACAUGAAAAGUUGAUUUUGAUGAAAUAGUUUUCAGGACAUGGGUCUGUUAACUGAUCAAAUGGACGUCAGUGUUUAUAGAAGUACAAGAGUCUGGAUGCACAGUG